CAAUAGCGUAUAUUAAAGUUGUUGCGGUUAAAAAGCUCGUAGUUGGAUUUCUGCUGAGAACGACCGGUCCGCCCUUUGGGUGUGUAUCUGGCUCUUUCUUGGCAUCUUCUUGGUGAACGUUGCUGCACUUGACUGUGUGGAGCGCUACCCAGGACUUUUACUUUGAGGAAAUUAGAGUGUUUCAAGCAGGCAUACGCCUUGAAUACAUUAGCAUGGAAUAAUAAGAUAGGACCUCGGUUCUAUUUUGUUGGUUUCUAGAGCUGAGGUAAUGAUUAAUAGGGAUAGUUGGGGGCAUUCGUAUUUAACUGUCAGAGGUGAAAUUCUUGGAUUUGUUAAAGACGGACUGCUGCGAAAGCAUUUGCCAAGGAUGUUUNCAUUG
rnacentral:rRNA from 1 species